rnacentral:rRNA from 1 species
AGAGUUUGAUCAUGGCUCAGGAUCAACGCUGGCGGCGUGCCUAAUGCAUGCAAGUCGAACGCCUGCGCUUCGGCGCAGGCGUGGCGAACGGCUGAGGAACACGUGCGUGACCAGCCCCAGCGUGGGGAAUACCGGCGGGAAACCGCCGCGAAUACCGCAUACGCUCCGUGCCCACAAGCGCGGAGGAAAGGCGCAAGCCGCGCUGGGACGGGCGCGCGGCCCAUCAGGCAGCUGGUAGGGUAACGGCCUACCAGGCCGAUGACGGGUCGCUGGUCUGUGAGGACGGCCAGCCAGACUGGGACUGCGAAACGGCCCAGACACCUACGGGUGGCAGCAGCAAGGAAUCUUGGACAAUGGGCGCAAGCCUGAUCCAGCAACGCCGCGUGGAGGACGACGGCCUUCGGGUUGUAAACUCCUUUCAGGGGGGACGACACGGACGGUACCCCCAGAAGCAGCCCCGGCUAACUCUGUGCCAGCAGCCGCGGUAAGACAGAGGGGGCAAGCGUUGUCCGGACUUACUGGGCGUAAAGCGCGCGCAGGCGGCGUCGUAUGUGCCCGGUGACACCCGGCCGCUCAACGGCCGGCGGCCUGGGUAGACAGCGGCGCUGGAGGCAGGGAGAGGGUGAUGGAAUGCCCGGUGGAGCGGUGAAAUGCGUAGAGAUCGGGCGGAACACCAGCGGGGAAGCCGGUCACCUGGCCCUGACCUGACGCUGAGGCGCGACAGCGUGGGGAGCCAACGGGAUUAGAUACCCCAGUAGUCC